AGGGGGAGCCGCAAGAUCCUGGACUGUGUGUCCUGGCACCUUGGGAUCCGAGGCCUGUGCCACUGGAAUUGCACUCCCAGGGCCGUGCAGCCCCCU
rnacentral:pre_miRNA from 1 species